rnacentral:lncRNA from 1 species
AUCAAAAACUGCUUGCCAUCUUUCCAAAUCAUCUCUGUCUGCAGUGACCAUGUCUUAAUCCUGAAGGAAAACAAGGUAAUCUUUUCAAAUAAACAUUUUCAAGGAUGUUUAGAGGGAACCAAAUUGCUGGCAUGUAGAACCCCCUUCCAGUGCUUAAAAAUAGAUAUAUUGAGGGAGCAAAACUCCAGUGAGUUGGAGUGUUUGGAAGUAUUUGAUAUGUUCAGAUGACUAACAAUAAUAAGCUAAAUUGCAAGCAAUGAUCUGAAUUUGUGUGUGUGAAUAUGAGUGUGUAUGUGUCAAAGAGACACUGAGUAUCCUGUUUCUCAAUGUUGUUGGUGGAAAAUGAGGCGCAGAGGGGUUACACACUCCCAGUAGGUAAGCAAGUUGGUAAGGGACUUUGGCAAUAUUUGACCCUAAGCCCAUUAGAUUUCACUGGGCUAACCUGACUCUGGGGAGAGUAAAUAUGAGAUGAAGAAACAUUUGAUCAUUAAAUAAAAAGGAAGCACUGAAAGAAAAGCAAUUGGUUGCAUAAAACUUAUUAAUGCAAUACUUCUGCUCUCAAGGAAGUUGACAUGCAAUAGAAAGAGAACAUGUAGAGUAUGGAUUGAAUAAACCAAAAAUUAUGUAGAUGAUGUAAUUACUAUAAUUAAAUCAAAACAGAUUGUGUAUGCUGGAACUUAUUGUAUUACUCACAACAUAAUUUUGUAUAACUUUUUUUUAAACCUGUCUCUUUUCCUUUCUGGUCUGUGGGUUUCUGAAGGACAAACCUCUUUUGGCAGUUGGGCCUGAAGCCCCAGAACUUAUGCUGGUCCUGGCACCAAUGAGGACAGAAAUGAUUGAGCACAUGAAUUUGGUGGAAAUUGAUUUUUACUUCUCUGCAGCUAAGUAUGUGGCAGUCUUGGCCACAUGGUGACUCAGCAGAGGAGCCUAUGUACUGGCUGUCCUGAUGCUCUUCCUGAUUCAACUGAUUCUCUACACUUGAUCUUAGCCAAAAGGCCGAGAAGCAAUGAUUCAACUGAUUCUCAAAAGGACACCGCUGCAGGAAUAAACCCACUUCUAAAUAUGGUACACUUGGAAAGUUGUCCAGCUCGCAAUGUCAGAGUCACAGACUUCAUGCACACUCAUCUCAAGUCAAUGUUAUCUAACACAUUUCCACUAAUUAUUGGAUGACACUAGCAAGAAACUCUGAUAUUUUUCACCUAACCUUUGCUAAUUUAAAUGUGGCCAGCCCACCCUCAUACUGCAUUGUGAUGGGGAUAUAAAAGCCAAUGAAAGAUAUCA